rnacentral:rRNA from 1 species
AAAACAUCUUUUCUUGUUAGUUUUUGAAGUAUAGCCUGCCCACUGACUUAGGUUGAAGGGCCGCGGUAUUUUGACCGUGCAAAGGUAGCAUAAUCAUUAGUUCUUUAAUUGUGAUCUGGUAUGAAUGGCUUGACGAGACAUGAGCUGUCUUAAUAGGAUUGUUUUGUUGAAUUUAGUUUUUGAGUUAAAAUUCUUAGAUGUUUUUAUGGGACGAGAAGACCCUAUAGAGUUUAACAUUUUGUUUACUAGUGCAAGGUUUAGUUUGUUGUAAUUAUUUUAGUAAGUUGAUUGUUUUGUUGGGGUGAUGGGAGGAAUUUUAUUAACUCCUCUUUUGGUUUGAUAUAUUAAUUUAUAUUUUAUUGAUCCAUUGAUUUUGAUUAUAAGAUUAAAUUACCUUAGGGAUAACAGCGUUAUCUUCCUUGAGAGUUCUUAUUGGCGGGAAGGUUUGCGACCUCGAUGUUGGAUUAAGAUGAAU